rnacentral:lncRNA from 1 species
UUUCUUGUCUUCUCCGCGGUCCCCACCAGUUUGGCUUCGGCUCCGACCCGCGAGCGCCUGUCGAUGGGGGUUGGUUCGCCCAAGGUGAGCGCUCUCCCCCUUUCCCCCGCUCCUCACAUUCAACAUUGCACCCUCACACCAAAACCCUGAACCCACGAUGCAACUGUAAUGGAGAUUGAUUCGUUCUGGUGACUUCUCCAGAAUCACGCCGCCCCUGGUGCCAUUCGAAUCGCCCGCCACUGGUUAGUGUUGUGUACAACUUCAACUUUUGAGCUAAAUCACUUGGGCAACGGUAGCCUCAAGUUUGGGUGUUUAUAUUUAGUAUUUACCCAUCUUCGGUUGUACUACUUCGAUAGUUGACUUCUCCAGCAACGCUCAUUGACCAAAUAAUUGUGCACCUGCCUCAAAUGAAUUAGGGCAGCUGGAUCGAACCGGUAAGCAAAGAGUAAAGCGUAUUACUCCCUUCAUCCCAGAAAAUAGGGCGCGCGUGUUUUUAAAAAAUUCAACAUUUUAAAAUUCUGACCAACAAUUCAACAAAAAAAAAUAUUUUUCGUGUAUGCAUGUUAUAUACUUGACUUUGUAUUUAAAAAUACUUUAAUAUAAUGCUUAAUUUGUAUUUGUUUCACUUUGUAUUUAAAAAUACUUUAAUAUAAUACUUAUUUUAUAUUUGUUGAUGUCAUAUUUAAAAAAAAUAUUGGUCAAAGUUUCACUUUAAAGACUUUUUCAAAAAUGCCUUAUUUUUUGGGAUAUAGGGAGUAUUAUAUUUUAUGAAUUGCUGCUUCUGUACUCCUUGUUUUGGCUUUAGUCUGUGUUCUAUUUCAGUUCUAAACAGUCGGACUUCUAUCGCUUUUCGACACACAUUUAUUUUAUGGAACCAUCAACUAAUGUUUUCGUUUCUCAGCAUUCCAGCAAAUAUUGUUAUUCAAGAGUUUUGUAUUCACUAUUCAGAUGUUUGAUUGACAACUUGCUGAAACCACAUUUCAAUGGAAAGAACGAGAUCAGUCUAGAUCUACUUCGAUGAUGGUAAAUAUUUGUCCAAGCUUCUUGGGCCUUUAUGUCAUUUCUAGUGAACUUAUCAAUUGUCUGUCACCUUGUCCAUCAACGUAUCGGUUUGUUUGCCAGUGCUUCUUGGAGCGGAGAAUCCCCGAGAACCACUUCCUCACCCAAACAACAAAAUUGCACAUAUUCUGGUGGGUCGCAGACAAGAAUCACUUCUUCAUUUACAAUGGGAGGUAAAAACCUGCUCUUCACUACUCCCUAUUCAAUCCUCACCAAAAUCACUCCAGAAUCUCUCCACACCCUGUUCCUCCACCAUAAUCAACAAGAAUCACUCCACCAAAGAAUCAAGGAGUCUACCUCUACCAAACAGGCCCUGACUUUCGUAAUCAGAGUUUCGAUUAACAGGCCACUAAAACCACCUCAAAAAAGUCAUUAUAUUGGUUCCUGAUUUUUCCAGUGCUGAUUAUGACCACAUUGUUGUGUCUUAUGUCAAAAUUUCUUUAAAAAUUGGGUUGUAUAAUAACCCACACUGAAUCAAGUUGAAGAGUUUUUUUCUAUAUCUAAAGAUAGCUGAAUUUAAGGGCAAUUUUACGUGACCAAACAGGGAUCAAUCUCCUACUCAAACGGGAGAAACAGAGACAUGGAAACAUUCUAUCCAGCUGAAAUUUGCAUGUAGAAGGGUUGUACAUUUUCAGACUCAGAACUUGCUGCCAAUAACCUUGCAAUCCUUAAUUGUACAAAUCUUUUAUAGCAAAUUCUUGAACGUUUGAAGACGAGUGACAAAUUAGCUGAGUUGUGUUUUGACACAAAAUAUAAACAUUAGACUUAUAUAGAGCAAGUCAAAAUGAAAGCACUGAGACCUUACAAUCAUCAAGUUACAUACAAAUUUAGAAUUAAAAUAUGGCAGAACAGAAACUGUAAAAUUUAUAUUUUUAUAUAGGUAAAGUCAAAAUUCCUGUAGUAUGAAACCUGAAGUUUGAAGUAGUGAUUUGUUGGAGAUUUGUUUUUGUCUCCCAAUGUUUCUUGCUAUAGUUUCAUUUGCCAUAUCAUUGCAUCCUUGUUUCAACUAGCAUAUAGUUCGUGCUAGCGCUACGAUCCCAGAGAGGGAAGUGGUCGACGGCAGCGGCAACGACACGAGGAGAGGGGUUGACGCGAGGAGAGGGGUUGACGGUGGCGAGGACGUGGGAGAGGAGAGGACCGCUAGGGGGUAGGGGCAAGGCCGUGGGGUUGUGGGGGGAGGGAGAGAGAUAAGAGAUGAUCCAAAUAAUAUUAUUUAUUAGAUUUAAGCAAGAGAGAGGAGGUUAUCCAGUGAUUUUAAUCGUUGGUUUUGAUGACGUGUUAAGUCUGGGUGCAAUUUGUUUGGUGGAUUUAGUGGAGGUUAUGGGUGUGGGAGUAAUUUGGUUGUGUGUGUUUUGCAAAGUUAAAACUGGUGGAUUAUAUAAUGAUAUAGAUGAAAUACAGAGGCAUGGUACCAACUUGAACUAUUCAGAUAGAUACCCCCUCCGCCCCAGUGUAUAAGGUAUAACCAUAUCUGGUUCAAAUACCAAGAAAUGUACUUAGUUGUCUUUAUAUCAUUGUAUCGAUGUAUAUAUGCAUAGAGAGAUCAUGUGUUAUAUUGUAGGAUAAGAACAUCAAAUAGUUACGCAUUAUAUCGAGUAGCUUCAUAGCCACAUAGGCGCAUGGGCUAUUGGCUCGUUAGGAUUGUUAUAGAUUGAUUGAUAUUAUAUUAGGCAAGGAGAUUCGGUGAUGGUCAUACUUCUAUAAACCAACCCUAGUUCCUUGCAUAUGUAUGUACUCCUGCAUAUUGGCCUCUAAACCAAUCAAUCAAUCUACCGAUUUCCCAUGCGCGCAAUACCCUUUUCUAUGGUAUCAUACGCCUAGGUUUUCUUGCUCUGUCCUAGCUCUCGCAUGCCCCCCCUGGUUGUGCAUCCCGCUCGAGGAUCCUUUCCUCAUUGCGUCUAUGUCGAGGAGACGAGGACUCCCAUCUCGCACGCCUAGUUUUCGUCGGCCGCCGCAGCUUCCGGCGCCCUCGAUGACGCCUCCUGCGCCCACGUGACUGCCCUCGAUGAACAACACCUGUACCACCGGGGCCGAGCGCAUCCUCGUCGCCGACUUGGAGUGCCAACUGCCAACAAGCCACCUGCACCGGCGUGGAAGCGUGCCACACCGCCCGUGAUGCUGCUCUUCACCUGUACCACCGGGGCCGAGCGCAUCCUCGUCGCCGACUUGGAGUGCCAACUGCCAACAAGCCACCUUCACCGGCGCGGAAGCGUGCCACAGCGCCCGUGAUGCUGCUCUUCAACGCGCCCAGGCCGCUGUUCAUAUUUCUUUUACAUAUUUUUUGUACAGAAAUUAGUUAGUAUUAUCGGUUCCUAACAGUGUGAUGGUAGAUUAUUUUAUGUUAUUUCAAGAGAACAAAAACCCUAUUUGUUUGUGACAUGUGAAAGAAUCCUCUAGCGUCGAAGCUAGUUUGUGGGAAGCUGACAGAAAGCUGCUAACAACAGUUAAAAUAUGAUGAACAUUAAUAUUCUCUUACCUUGGCCUAGAUAUAUUCAUAUAUACAAUCAAACUAAGCAUAAUAAGGCCUCUUUGGAACAAAUAAAUUUCACAUGACUUUUACAAUCAGUUCAUUUUCACAAGAAAAAACACAGGAAACAGGAUAGAAUCCUGCAUUCCAAAGUGGGCCUAAACCAGAUUAUAGAAUGAUAUAUGCUAGCUCUGGAAAUGGUAGUCCCUCAAUUGUAUUUGUCAAAGCAUCAUCAUUACCGAUCCCUUUCUAACUUGAGUGGGCUGUAAUGUCUUUUUUGUUUCUUACUUUCUUAAUCUCCCCAUACUUGCAUUACUUAACUAGUACCUAGUGUAAUGGCUUGCAUUUUCUAUGACUAAGUAUAUAUUAUAUAAGAUAUGCUAAACAUCUAACCUCCUUGUGGAUUAAAUAAUUGUUACAGCACAUUGCCUACAACUACAAUUCCUCUAAACAGGCAGGAGAACUGCAAUUUUGAGUUAGUGAUAGAGAUGAAUGUACAGAAUCUUACUUAAGGCUGGCAUUGUAUUAUGCAAGAAGUGCAAAUUAAAAUCCUAACUAGGUGAUUCUGUUCCUCCUUUGUUUGUUAACUAGCAGUUAACUUCUCUUCAUAAGUUGUUGAAACGCUAUGGAAAUUGUCACAUAGUUUAUAGUUAUACUACAAACCUAGCUGAUUCUGACCUUCUAUUUUAAGAUACCCCUGUAUGAGUAACGUUUAUCCUACUUUGUUGGGCAGCACAUAUAAGGAAAUUUCUCAUUUUCUUUAAUCUUCAUGUGUUUUACGCUUGAGGAUUUUGCCUAUUUGGUGCGAAACCAAACAGUCCUUUUCCACUAUGUAUCUUCAAGCGGAAGGCGAUCAGCUAGCUUGUGAUUCUCUUUAGCAAAAGGUGGACAAAGAAAAGAAAAAGGCAAAUGAAAAGUAGCACUAAGGCCAACAUAACUUUAGCCUGCCCAUGAAUAUGCAAACGGUUCAUCUAAAAAAUUUCUGAAAAGAAAUAAAUCGAAAGAAUAAAAGUGCAUCAUCAACAAUUAAUUUGCAUCUCAAGCAUAUACAGUAACAAAAUAACAGCUAAAAAAAUCUGAAAUUUCUUGUAUGGUUCCGAAGAGCUACUGACAGGUGCAGUAUUUCACAUUCUUGCCUCAUUUAUUUUGUAGACAAAGAUCAACCAUGACUCACUUAUACAAAAAAAGCCGAGCUACAUGCAUGUACAGAUAAAGACAGCAACUUUUAAAUGAAAGGAGGUAAACUCCUAGGAUGUACUUUCUCUAGUCUAUACAUUAUGCUGUAAUAUAGAUUCAUUUUUUCCCUUUUUUCAUGUACACUGGUGAACAGUUAUCAGUAUUGAUCUCUGUUUCAUCAUAAGAAUGUACCUACGUAAAACACACCUCCACAUAGCCUUCAAAUGAAUCUGUGAAGAAAUAUUGUAUUUUUUAAGGCUUCAUUGACUCAGCUUUCUGCUAUUUCUCUGUUCCCUGCAUGCUGAAAC